rnacentral:rRNA from 1 species
UGGGGAAUAUUGCACAAUGGACGGAAGUCUGAUGCAGCGACGCCGCGUGGGGGUUGUAGGCCUUCGGGUUGUGAACUCCUUUUUCUCGCGAAAAAGGCACAGUUUUGGCUGUGUUGAUGGUAGGGGGGGAAGAACCGCGGGCAAACUACGGGCCAGCAGCCGCGGUAAUACGUAGGGCGCGAGCGUUGUCCGGAUUUAUUGGGCGUAAAGAGCUCGUAGGUGGUUCGUCGCGUCUGUCGUGAAAGCCAGCGGCUUAACUGUUGGUCUGCGGUGGGUACGGGCGGGCUUGAGUGCGGUAGGGGGGACUGGAAUUCCUGGUGUAGCGGUGGAAUGCGCAGAUAUCAGGAGGAACACCGGUGGCGAAGGCAGGUCACUGGGCCGUUACUGACACUGAGGAGCGAAAGCGUGGGGAGCGAACAGG